UUAUAGCUUGACAGUUCCUCGAACCGCGUGCUUGAAAAGUUCAUCUCCGCAGGGCCCUCCGAGUUGUAACUGGUUCUAAUUGAGCAGCUUGCCGCGCGUGCUUUUAUUCCCUCCUUAUUAGAAGUGUAAACCUCAACAUUUACACGGGAGACAAAUAAAUCAAACAAUUAGCGAAUUAUCAGUGCGAAGUUACAAUCGUACGGCCCGUAACUUGUAAUAAUCUGUUUCGAUAGAGUAAUCGUUAUUAUUAUAUAAGAUCUCGAAACGAGCCGAGUGAUUAAUAACGAUAAUAUACACCUAUAUACGUGUAAACGCGAUUAAUCGCGAUUUAUACGCAUGCGGACCUGUGUAAUUUUUUAAUCGUCGAUCUAUGAUUUAUUAUACAUUAUACAACCGUAUAUCAAUAAUCAAAUCAAUUAACCAAAUCGACAAUCAACGUUCUUUGCCUAUAUAAUAAUAUCGUCGCGACGUCGUCGUCGUCGUUGGUGGAGCGGCGGCGUUUCGCGCAAGCCUCGACAG